rnacentral:rRNA from 1 species
GAUCAUGGCUCAGGAUAAACGCUGGCGGCGCACAUAAGACAUGCAAGUCGAACGGACUUAACUCAUUCUUUUAGUUUGAGAGCGGUUAGUGGCGGACUGGUGAGUAACACGUAAGCAACCUGCCUAUCAGAGGGGAAUAACAGUGAGAAAUCACUGCUAAUACCGCAUAAGCUAGUAGUAUCGCAUGAUACAGCUAGAAAAGGAGCAAUCCGCUGAUAGAUGGG